AAGUCGUAACAAGGUUUCCGUAGGUGAACCUGCGGAAGGAUCAUUACCGAGUAUCGGGUCUCCGGGCCCUACUCCCACCCUCUGUGUACCUACCUAUUUUUCGUUGCCUUGGCGGGGUCGAUCCCCGUGGCCCCUGCGGCCACGUGGGGGACCCGCCAGGGGAACACGCCUAAACUCUAUUUUAACGUCUCGUCUGAGAAAACACAUAAUAAGUCAAAACUUUCAACAACGGAUCUCUUGGUUCUG
rnacentral:misc_RNA from 1 species